AAACAGUACAAGUCAGGGCUUGUUUUCCUCCCCAAAGAGCUGGUUUCUAAACAUUUACCAGCAUGCCACUGAGCACACCUAACUGAGCUCCAGGCUUUCAAGGAGAAACGACAGUGGGAGAAGGUCUGUGGAGCACCCAUUACUCUUCUACACACCCUCUGAAAUUCAGUCGGAAGUGCACAUUGAUGAUCCCACGUACUGGGAUCAAAUCAAAUUAUCUAAAAGAACUAAAUCCUCCAAUGACUUGAACAGAAAGUCAAGCGCUGCGUGUUUUCUGCAACUUUGAGGAAAGAAGAACUCAAAAGAAAGCUGAGGAAAUCCACUAGAUCAUUGAUUCUCCAAGUGCGGUCCACGGAUCCCUGGGCACUUUCGGGGGGUCCUUCAGGUUUUCCCUUUCCAACUGCACUUCUGUGGGAGGCCCGGCUUUUGUAAAUGUGUCAGCCCAACCAACAGACUACGACACAUUGAAGCAGAUGUGAGAACCCAGCUGUUAAAGAGAUUUGCCAACUAGAAAGCAAGACGUUAAAGAGAUGGCAAAAAUGGAAAAGCACUGCAACUCUUUUCACUAAGUGUUUGGC
rnacentral:lncRNA from 1 species